AAGGAAUAUUGGUCAAUGGACGGAAGUCUGAACCAGCCAUGCCGCGUGGAGGAUGAAGGUCCUCUGGAUUGUAAACUUCUUUUAUAGGGGGCGAAAAAAGGGAAUUCUUUCUCGUCUGACGGUACCCUAUGAAUAAGCACCGGCUAACUCCGUGCCAGCAGCCGCGGUAAUACGGAGGGUGCAAGCGUUAUCCGGAUUCACUGGGUUUAAAGGGAGCGUAGGCGGGCAUUUAAGUCCGUGGUGAAAGCCCUCAGCUCAACUGAGGAACUGCCAUGGAUACUAUUUGUCUUGAAUGUCGUUGAGGUUUGCGGAAUGGGUCAUGUAGCGGUGAAAUGCUUAGAUAUGACCCGGAACACCAAUUGCGAAGGCAGCAGGCUAAACGAAAAUUGACGCUGAGGCUCGAAAGCGUGGGGAUCAAAC
rnacentral:rRNA from 1 species